UACGUAGGGGGCAAGCGUUGUCCGGAUUUAUUGGGCGUAAAGAGCGUGUAGGCGGCCAGGGAGGUCCGUUGUGAAAACUCGAGGCUCAACCUCGAGACGCCGAUGGAAACCAUCUGACUAGAGUCCGGAAGAGGAGAGUGGAAUUCCUGGUGUAGCGGUGAAAUGCGCAGAUAUCAGGAAGAACACCCGUGGCUAAGGCGGCUCUCUAGUACGGUACUGACGCUGAGACGCGAAAGCGUGGGGAGCGAACAGG
rnacentral:rRNA from 1 species